AUUGAACGCUGGCGGCAGGCCUAACACAUGCAAGUCGAGCGGAUGAGAGGAGCUUGCUUCUCGAUUCAGCGGCGGACGGGUGAGUAAUGCCUAGGAAUCUGCCUGGUAGUGGGGGACAACGUUUCGAAAGGAACGCUAAUACCGCAUACGUCCUACGGGAGAAAGCAGGGGACCUUCGGGCCCUGCGCUAUCAGAUGAGCCUAGGUCGGAUUAGCUAGUUGGUGAGGUAAUGGCUCACCAAGGCGACGAUCCGUAACUGGUCUGAGAGGAUGAUCAGUCACACUGGAACUGAGACACGGUCCAGACUCCUACAAGAGGCAGCAGUGGGGAAUAUUGGACAAUGGGCGAAAGCCUGAUCCAGCCAUGCCGCGUGUGUGAAGAAGGUCUUCGGAUUGUAAAGCACUUUAAGUUGGGAGGAAGGGUUGUAGAUUACUACUCUGCAAUUUUGACGUUACCGACAGAAUAAGCACCGGCUAACUCUGUGCCAGCAGCCGCCGUAAUAC
rnacentral:rRNA from 1 species